rnacentral:rRNA from 1 species
CAGGCCUAACACAUGCAAGUCGSGCGGUAUUUGUUCUUCVGGACAAAAAGAGCGGCSUACGGGUGCGGAACACGUGUGCAACCUGCCUUKAUCAGGGGGAUAGCCUUUCGAAAGGAAGAUUAAUACCCCAUAAUAUAUUGAUUGGCAUCAGUUAAUAUUGAAAACUCCGGUGGAUAGAGAUGGGCACGCGCAAGAUUAGAUAGUUGGUGAGGUAACGGCUCACCAAGUCAGUGAUCUUUAGGGGGCCUGAGAGGGUGAUCCCCCACACUGGUACUGAGACACGGACCAGACUCCUACGGGAGGCAGCAGUUAGGAAUAUUGGACAAUGGGUGAGAGCCUGAUCCAGCCAUCCCGCGUGAAGGACGACGGUUCUAUGGAUUGUAAACUUCUUUUAUACUGGGAUAAACCUACCCUCGUGAGGGUAGCUGAAGGUACAGUAUGAAUAAGCACCGGCUAACUCCGUGCCAGCAGCCGCGGUAAUACGGAGGGUGCAAGCGUUAUCCGGAUUUAUUGGGUUUAAAGGGUCCGUAGCGGAUCUGUAAGUCAGUUGUGAAAUCUCAUAGCUUAACUAUGAAACUGCCAUUGAUACUGCAGGUCUUGAGUAAAGUAGAAGUGGCUGGAAUAAGUAGUGUAGCGGUGAAAUGCAUAGAUAUUACUUAGAACACCAAUUGCGAAGGCAGGUCACUAUGUUUUAACUGACGCUGAUGGACGAAAGCGUGGGGAGCGAACAGGAUUAGAUACCCUGGUAGUCCACGCCGUAAACGAUGCUAACUCGUUUUUGGGUUUUCGGAUUCAGAGACUAAGCGAAAGUUAUAAGUUAGCCACCUGGGGAGUACGUUCGCAAGAAUGAAACUCAAAGGAAUUGACGGGGGCCGCACAAGCGUUGGAUUAUGUUGUU